rfam:Felis catus isolate Cinnamon breed Abyssinian chromosome C2, whole genome shotgun sequence.
GCCUGGGUGGCCCAGUUGGUUGGGCAACCGACUUCAGCUCAGGUCAUGAUCUCAGGGUUCGUGGGUUCGAGCCCCGUGUCGGGCU